UACGGAGGGUGCGAGCGUUGUCCGGAAUCACUGGGCGUAAAGGGCGCGUAGGUGGCGCGGGAAGUCAACGGUGAAAGUUCGGGGCUCAACCCUGAAAUCGGCCGUCGAUACUCCCGGGCUCGAGCACUGUAGAGGCAGAUGGAAUUCCGGGUGUAGCGGUGGAAUGCGUAGAGAUCCGGAAGAACACCGGUGGCGAAGGCGGUCUGCUGGGCAGUUGCUGACACUGAGGCGCGACACGUGGGGAGCAAACAGG
rnacentral:rRNA from 1 species